rnacentral:misc_RNA from 1 species
AACACUGUUAACCUGCGGUACCUGCGGAGGGAUCAUUAACGUUACCUCAUCCAACCUUGCUGCCGGUCGCUCGCGAGGGCGGCCGGCAACAAGCACCCGUGACAUGUUGAAGUCCUUGAUCGCAUCCGAUCCUCUCGGAUGCGGUUAAAGCAACCUUUUACAGUUAUGCCUAAUCACGAGCUCCUCUCCGAGGAGCGCAAUCGAUCAAUCAAGACACAACUUUCAACAAUGGAUCUCAGA